rnacentral:rRNA from 1 species
GCUUCAGUACGACCCUGUCAGAACUAUAAGUCUCGAAGCCCCGACGAGUAGGGUGGCGUGCCGGUGAGCGUUGAAGGCCAAGACGUGAGUCAGGCUGGAGCCGCCGGUAGUGCAGAUCUUGGUGGUAGUAGCAAGUACUCUGGUGAACCAACCUGGAGCUGUGAGGUCUGGAUCAGGGUUCCAUGUCAACAGUGAUUGAACAUGGGUGAGUCGAUCCUAAGCCAACUGUGAAAGCAGUGACAUCCCGACAAAGGUGUGGUGCCGCAAUGGUGGUUGUGACGGCCACACACACGCACACAGGCGUUUGAGUGCACAUUCGCAAGUCUCCUCUCUCAGUUGGGCGCGCGCACAUGCAAGCAUGAACGGUGGGUGUGCGCGCGCCCACAUCGCUGUGACUUACUGGUUGAGCUUGAAAGCUCUAUGGAUGGGAGAGAGAAAACGAGACAGUGCCGCGCCUGUGAUAUUGUGUGUGUGCUGGUUCGUUCGUGUGCUGAUUCACGGCUAUCCCUGCGUCUGGUUCUAUGUCUGGCGAAAGGGAAUGGGGACUUUGUUCCUUGACCGGUCCCGGCACCCUCGAUAGGCUUUGCCAUUCAAUGGUCCAUGCAAAUGGAACCAGGCCACAGCCGCCGGCAGUCGCCCGAGGAAGAGUUUUCUUUUCUGCUUAACGCACGAGAUCAUCCCUGGAAACAGUUCGGCUGGCGAAAGGGUGCCCCGUUGCGGCAGAGCGCCACGACUGUCGUGCGCGUCUCGGUGUUCCUGCCGGUCCGUGAAGACGUGGUCGAGGGGAUUGCUAUUUGUAUCAACGAAACGCCCGACAAGUUCGGGACGGACCGUACCCUAUAUCCGCAUCUGGUCUCCAAGGUUCGUAGCCUCUGCAGAGUCAGACACAUGUAGGUAAGGGAAGUCGGCAAACUCGAUCCGUAACUUCGGGAAAAGGAUUGGCUCUGAGGGCCGAGCUGGGCCGGGCCUUGCCUGCAAAGCAGUACCUAUAGUGACCGGAGUUUCAGGANUGCGAGGGGCUCUAGUAGCUGCCU